UACAGAGGUCCCAAGCGUUGUUCGGAUUCACUGGGCGUAAAGGGUGCGCAGGUGGGUUGGCAAGUUCGAUGUGAAAGCCCCGGGCUUAACCCGGGAAUGGCAUUGGAAGCUGCUGAUCUGGAGGAUCGGAGGGGGGACUGGAAUUCUUGGUGUAGCAGUGAAAUGCGUAGAUAUCAAGAGGAACACCAGUGGCGAAGGCGAGUCCCUGGACGAUACCUGACACUGAGGCACGAAAGCCAAGGGAGCAAACAGG
rnacentral:rRNA from 1 species